CGAAAAUGAGACACAAGAAUUCAGGCAGAUACAAACAGAAGUGAUGGAUUUAUUGAGGAUUACAUCAAAUAAUCCAGGAGCUGUGAAUCAGUAAACAAAAAUGGAUAAAGUCGAAACCAAAGAAGAAGAUUCUGAAAUAUUCUUGAAAAGUGUACGCGUUUUCUGAAAGAAAUUAAUAAAGAAUGUUGAUUA